AAAAUCACUUAUCGAAUAUUGAAAUUCGAAAGAUCCUUUAACGAAUCUUAAAAUUUAUUUAUUUAUAUUAGAUUUUAAAGUCUGGUAAAGAAAAAAUAGGAUUUCAAGAUUCAGUGGAGAAACUUUCAGAUUUUAAUAUGGUUUUUGAUUUCUUGAAUGUCAAAAUUUGAUUUCCUCAUUAGAUGUCAAAAGUUGAUUUGGUUUUCUCGAUGAAAAACAAAAAGAAUUCCCAAAAUAUUAAGAACUAAUAUCUAGAUGUA
rnacentral:lncRNA from 1 species